GAUGAACGCUGGCGGCGUGCCUAAUACAUGCAAGUCGAGCGAACGGACGAGAAGCUUGCUUCUCUGAUGUUAGCGGCGGACGGGUGAGUAACACGUGGAUAACCUACCUAUAAGACUGGGAUAACUUCGGGAAACCGGAGCUAAUACCGGAUAAUAUUUUGAACCGCAUGGUUCAAAAGUGAAAGACGGUCUUGCUGUCACUUAUAGAUGGAUCCGCGCUGCAUUAGCUAGUUGGUAAGGUAACGGCUUACCAAGGCAACGAUGCAUAGCCGACCUGAGAGGGUGAUCGGCCACACUGGAACUGAGACACGGUCCAGACUCCUACGGGAGGCAGCAGUAGGGAAUCUUCCGCAAUGGGCGAAAGCCUGACGGAGCAGCGCCGCGCGAGUGAUGAAGGUCUUCGGAUCGUAAAACUCUGUUAUUAGGGAAGAACAUAUGUGUAAGUAACUGUGCACAUCUUGACGGUACCUAAUCAGAAAGCCACGGCUAACUACGUG
rnacentral:rRNA from 1 species